AACGAACGCUGGCGGCAGGCUUAACACAUGCAAGUCGAGCGCCCCGCAAGGGGAGCGGCAGACGGGUGAGUAACACGUGGGAAUCUACCCAUCCCUACGGAACAACUCCGGGAAACUGGAGCUAAUACCGUAUACGCCCUUUGGGGGAGCGAUUUAUCGGGGAUGGAUGAGCCCGCGUUGGAUUAGCUAGUUGGUGGGGUAAAGGCCUACCAAGGCGACGAUCCAUAGCUGGUCUGAGAGGAUGAUCAGCCACAUUGGGACUGAGACACGGCCCAAACUCCUACGGGAGGCAGCAGUGGGGAAUAUUGGACAAUGGGCGCAAGCCUGAUCCAGCCAUGCCGCGUGAAUGAUGAAGGCCUUAGGGUUGUAAAGUUCUUUCACCGAUGAAGAUAAUGACGGUAGUCGGAGAAGAAGCCCCGGCUAACUUCGUGCCAGCCGCCGCGGUAA
rnacentral:rRNA from 1 species